GUGGAUUAGAUACCCUGGUAGUCCACGCCGUAAACGAUGAGUGCUAAGUGUUAGAGGGGUCACACCCUUUAGUGCUGCAGCUAACGCGAUAAGCACUCCGCCUGGGGAGUACGGCCGCAAGGCUGAAACUCAAAGGAAUUGACGGGGGCCCGCACAAGCGGUGGAGCAUGUGGUUUAAUUCGAAGCAACGCGAAGAACCUUACCAGGUCUUGACAUCCCCUGACAACCCAAGAGAUUGGGCGUUCCCCCUUCGGGGGGACAGGGUGACAGGUGGUGCAUGGUCGUCGACAGCU
rnacentral:rRNA from 1 species